AUUGAACGCUGGCGGCAUGCCUUACACAUGCAAGUCGAACGGCAGCACGGGAGCAAUCCUGGUGGCGAGUGGCGAACGGGUGAGUAAUAUAUCGGAACGUGCCCAGUCGUGGGGAUAACGUAGCGAAAGCUACGCUAAUACCGCAUACGAUCUAUGGAUGAAAGCGGGGGAUCGCAAGACCUCGCGCGAUUGGAGCGGCCGAUAUCAGAUUAGGUAGUUGGUGAGGUAAAGGCUCACCAAGCCGACGAUCUGUAGCUGGUCUGAGAGGACGACCAGCCACACUGGGACUGAGACACGGCCCAGACUCCUACGGGAGGCAGCAGUGGGGAAUUUUGGACAAUGGGCGGCAAGACCUGAUCCAGCAAUGCCGCGUGCAGGA
rnacentral:rRNA from 1 species